rnacentral:rRNA from 1 species
AGAGUCUGAUCAUGGCUCAGAUUGAAAGCUGGCGGCAGGCCUAACACAUGCAAGUAGAGCGAGAAAGCACUUCGGUGUGAGUAGAGCGGCGGACGGGUGAGUAACGCGUAGGAAUUUGCCCAGUAGUGGGGGACAACAUGUGGAAACGCAUGCUAAUACCGCAUACGCCCUAAGGGGGAAAGCAGGGGAUCUUCGGACCUUGCGCUAUUGGAGAAGCCUGCGUUGGAUUAGCUUGUUGGUGGGGUAAUGGCCUACCAAGGCGACGAUCUAUAGCUGGUCUGAGAGGACGAUCAGCCACACUGGAACUGAGACACGGUCCAGACUCCUACGGGAGGCAGCAGUAGGGAAUCUUGGGCAAUGGGCGCAAGCCUGACCCAGCGAUGCCGCGUGUGUGAAGAAGGCCUUCGGGUUGUAAAGCACUUUCAGUAGCGAAGAAAAGCUUAGGACUAAUAUUCCUGAGUCUUGACGUUAACUACAGAAGAAGCACCGGCUAACUCCGUGCCAGCAGCCGCGGUAAUACGGAGGGUGCGAACGUUAAUCGGAAUUACUGGGCGUAAAGCGCGCGUAGGCGGUUCGACAAGUGGGGUGUGAAAGCCCAGGGCUUAACCUUGGAACUGCAUUCCAAACUGACAGACUAGAGUGUAGUAGAGGGAGGUGGAAUUUCCUGUGUAGCGGUGAAAUGCGUAGAUAUAGGAAGGAACACCAGUGGCGAAGGCGACCUCCUGGACUAACACUGACGCUGAGGUGCGAAAGGCGUGGGGAGCAAACAGGAUUAGAUACCCUGGUAGUCCACGCCGUAAACGAUGAGAACUAGCCGUUGGGCCCCUUGAGGGUUUAGUGGCGCAGCUAACGCGAUAAGUUCUCCGCCUGGGGAGUACGGCCGCAAGGUUAAAACUCAAAUGAUUGACGGGGGCCCGCACAAGCGGUGGAGCAUGUGGUUUAAUUCGAUGCAACGCGAAGAACCUUACCUGCCCUUGACAUACUCGGAACUCGGCAGAGAUGCCUUGGUGCCUUCGGGAGCCGAGAUACAGGUGCUGCAUGGCUGUCGUCAGCUCGUGUCGUGAGAUGUUGGGUUAAGUCCCGUAACGAGCGCAACCCUUGUCCUUACUUGCCAGCGGGUAAUGCCGGGAACUUUAAGGAGACUGCCGGUGACAAACCGGAGGAAGGUGGGGACGACGUCAAGUCAUCAUGGCCCUUACGGGGUGGGCUACAAACGUGCUACAAUGGGAAGUACAAAGGGCUGCAAACCAGCAAUGGCAAGCGAAUCCCAAAAAGCUUCUCGUAGUCCGGAUAGGAGUCUGCAACUCGACUCCUUGAAGUCGGAAUCGCUAGUAAUCGCGAAUCAGAAUGUCGCGGUGAAUACGUUCCCGGGCCUUGUACACACCGCCCGUCACGUCAUGGAAGUGAAUUGCACCAGAAGUAGCUAGUCUAACCCUCGGGAAGACGGUUACCACGGUGUGAUUCAUGACUGGGACGAAGUCGUAACAAGGUAGCCGUAGGGGAACCUGCGGCUGGAUCACCUCCUU